CUAGAUUUGGAAAUCUCUGUCUACGUGUAUGAAAGGAGGGAAGCAGCUAUAAAUUAGAAAGGAGAUAGGAAAGUGAAGAUAUUUACUAGACUCUGCCUUUGCUUGCAGUUCUCUGGCUUGAUUGAGGAGGUUCUCACUUUCAUCUUUAUGGGACUUUGGCUAAAAAAAUAAACUGUCAAAGGAACUGGCAUUUGCUGACUGGACUACAGCACAUCUCGAAGAAUCUGCAGACUGAAACCUUCAAGGCAUUCAUGAAAUGGUCUUCCCUUAGUUCCCCUGCCUUUUCCACUCUUUCUGCCAUUUGGAUUUCACACUGGAAGUUCAAGAGAUGACAUCAGAAAACAGAAAAGCCAGUGGGAAAGGCAAGGAGAUUUGGAAGAGUGUUUGAAAAUUUUGGCAAUCAAGAAUAAGAAGAAAGCAGGAAGCCAAGUCACCAGGCAGAACUGAUAGCAUGGGAAGUGGGUUCCCACCAGUCGCAUGCAGCUGCUCUGGUAUGGCCAUGGUGCUGGGGAUGAGUCAGAAAUCUCAGUCUUUUCUGGCUUAAAGAAAAGGAAGAAUGGAACCCAUCUUCUCCAGAUAUGUUGUUAUGGGGUAGGUGUAGGUCUAGAGACAGAAAAGAAUCACAUUUGAACAUCCUCUUAAUGCAAGAACAUUUUUAAAGAAACAAUUUUCCCUGAAUAUCCAUCAAGCCUAAUACAGUGUGACUAUCUGAGAUCAAUUAUUCUUAUCUUUACAAAGACUGGGAGUUAUACAGCAAAAGCAAUACUGUAAAAUAUGUGUAUUAAAAUAUGUAAAAGAAGGGAGUUG
rnacentral:lncRNA from 10 species